rnacentral:tRNA from 1 species
GGUUCUUUUAUGAUGCCGCCUUGAAAGUGGUAUGUGGGCUGGUAGUCCAAGAACUU